rfam:Dipodomys ordii contig_63120, whole genome shotgun sequence.
GGGAAGGUAGCUCAGUGGUAGAGUGCAUGCCUUGCGAGCAUGAGGCCCUGGGUUCGAUUCCUCAGCACCA